rnacentral:misc_RNA from 1 species
CUCAUGCAAGUAGUUCAUUCCCCUGCAAAAUAUAUCAAAAUAUUUUUCAGGAUUGCAUUAGAUCCACAAGCAGAUAACAGCCAUUUAAAAUUUCCGUAACAUGGUAUAAAAGAAAGCAAUAACAUAUCAGUGCAACGCAAAUAACAUAAAUAGUUUACAUGCAUCAGCUGAAAAAACAUGCAGGUUCCUAAUCAAUGAGAAAUAAAGAAAAUAAGAUUGCCUCUCAACUCCAUUCUAGCCAAUGGCUUUUUACCAUAGUAGAAUACUGUCAAAAAUAAGCCUAGGCAUGAGGCACACAGAACACCAAGUGCCUCAUUACCUGAAUGCAAUUUUAGGAUGUGAAACAAUUAUUUAUAUGCAGAAUUCUAUUGCACUACAGAAUUAAGGAUGACUUUAUAGCAAGAAAUCAACAUAAAAUUUAUUUGUCAAGGGUAGACCCUUAGGAUUUGAAUUUGCAGAUUUUAGCUUGCAGAUCCUAGUUUCAAGUUCCAUUGAAAUUGGGAUGAAGAGUGUUUAUCAGAAGAAGAG